rnacentral:lncRNA from 1 species
CAGGCUUUGGUUCGGGUUUGGGUUCUGGUUUAGGCAUCGGUUCAGGCUUGGGCUCGGGUUUUGGUUCAGGUUUAGGCAUGGGCUUAGGCAUGGGCUCAGGCUUUGGUUCUGGUUUAGGCAUUGGCUUAGGCUUGGGUUCGGGUUUUGGCUCUGGUUUGGGCAUUGGCUCAGGCUUGGGUUCUGGUUUAGGCAUGGGCUCAGGCUUUGGUUCCGGUUUAAUUGGCUCAGGCUUCGGUUCCGGCUUAGGCAUUGGCUCGGGCUUGGGCUCAGGUUUUGGCUCAGGUUUAGGCAUUGGCUCGGGUUUGGGCUCAGGUUUAGGCUCAGGUUUAGGCACUGGCUCAGGCUUAGGCUCGGGUUUAGGCUCAGGUUUAGGCACUGGCUUAGGCAUGGGCUCGGGUUUUGGUUCCGGUUUAGGCAUUGGCUCAGGUUUGGGCUCGGGUUUAGGCUCGGGUUUAGGCAUUGGCUUAGGCAUGGGCUCGGGUUUUGGUUCCGGUUUGGGCAUGGGCUCUGGUUUUGGCUCGGGUUUUGGCAUUGGCUUAGGCAUGGGCUCUGGUUUUGGUUCCGGUUUAGGCAUCGGCUCAGGUUUCGGCUCUGGUUUAGGCAUUGGUUUGGGCAUUGGUUCCGGCUUGGGCUCUGGCUUCGGCUCGGGCUUGGGCAUGGGUUCAGGUUUGGGCUCAGGUUUCGGUCCCGGUUUGGGCAUUGGUUCUGGCUUCGGCUCAGGUUUCGGUUCAGGUUUAGGCAUGGGUUCAGGUUUCGGUUCAGGUUUUGGCUCUGGUUUUGGCAUGGGCUUGGGCUCCGGUUUUGGCAUGGGUUUUGGUUCCGGCUUUGGCUCUGGCUGCGGCAUAGGCUUAGGCUCCGGCUCGAC